GAGGAUUGUCUGGUGGCACAAAAGGAACCAGUGUUGGAGCCAGGGCACCUCUGCAGUGCCUUGUUCUGUGGAAAGGUCACCAGACCCUGUGUCUCUGUGUUUCUGUUUAAGCUUUGUCAGCUCUGCCUUUAGUACCCUUACAGACAGGUGCAGCAGCGUCACUUUCUACAACUUUUUGGUAUUCUCUUUUGAAAUACAGGAGUAUUUCAGAAGAAAGCCUCCAACUGGUUUCAUUCAUAAACAUAAAGGCAGUGUAUAAUAUUAUUCCAUGGAGCAUUUUUGGGAUCACAGCUUGUUGCCAUAACCUUUGGCCUUUCUUACUGCCUAGGUUUGGCUCUUCAGUGCUCAGGAGCUUCAAGACCACUUAGUCCAUGGCUUGGGGAAGACCCCAGUUUAGAUCCCCUGCAGCUGCUUCGUCAGCCUGUCCUAUCAGAUUGAGGAUGCUAUGUAAUUCCAACUUCUUGGAAUGUUACAUGCCAGUAAGCAAAGCUGAAAGUAGAGCUUACAGAGGGAG